rnacentral:lncRNA from 1 species
CACCUGACCCGACUGAUAGUCAUACACCUCUGGUCGAAUGGGAGCGAUGAGAUUCCUCCAAGCACUAGAUUUCCUAGCCGUGACUCUUAGGGGUCAUUUGACAAAUCUGAAUGCAAAAUUGAUGAAUGAUUAAUAUAUCUGAAUGAUCUGAAUAAAUCAGUUAUCUGAAUACUGAAUGAAUAAUCUUAUUUGACAAAAAUAUAUUUUAAAAAUCUGAAUUAUAGUAUUUUUAUUUAGACGUUUAAAUUUUAAUAAAAUUAUCAUUUGACAUAAUAAUGUUAAAUAUAAAAAAGCUACUAUAAACUAACUAUAAUAUAAAUAAUCAACAAGCAUAAAAAUUAAUAUAAUAUUAUAUAUAUAUAUAUAUAUAUAUAUAUAUAUAUAGGAGGAAUAAUAAAAUCAAAAUAAAUUUAACACAUUUAAAAUAAAAACAAUAUUACAAGAACAUAUUUAAAUUUAUUUGUGUUCUUAAUUAUAUUAAGAUAUCUUAUAAAGAAAAAUAAAAUAAAACAGAAGUAUAUGAUAUAGUGCAGGUGAUGUUGGUUGAGUGCUACAGCCAGUAGAUACUGUAUUACUCGGUCAGCAAGUCCAUGAAUCAUUCACUCACAUCUAUCUAGCAAAACAAAUGAACUUAAUAACUAAAUCAUACCAUUCAUCUUUGUUCAGCCUCUCUCAGCAGUAAACAUAUGACCCCUUAGUCUUGCCAUGAGUGAAGGUAUCUGAAAGGUUAGUGGGAAGCAAUAAUAUGAGCACAAAGAAAUUUGCUCAGCAAGUAAAAUUUACAUACACCAUGGCAUAGUAUAAAAUAUGGAAAAAUGCAUAAUCAAAGG